rnacentral:rRNA from 1 species
CCAAUAGCGUAUAUUAAAGUUGUUGCAGUUAAAAAGCUCGUAGUUGAACUUCGGGGUUUACCCAUUGGUCAGGCUUAAUUGUCUGUACUGGUGUGUUGAAUCUCUACCUUCUGAGGAACCUUCAUGCCAUUUAUUUGGUGUGAUGGGAAAUCAGGACUGUUACUUUGAAAAAAUUAGAGUGUUUAAAGCAGGCUAACGUCUGAAUACAUUAGCAUGGAAUAAUGAAAUAGGACGGAUUGGUUCUAUUUCGUUGGUUUCUAGGAUCACCGUAAUGAUUAAUAGGGAUAGUUGGGGGCAUUAGUAUUCAAUUGUCAGAGGUGAAAUUCUUGGAUUUAUUGAAGACUAACUACUGCGAAAGCAUUUGCCAAGGAUGUUUUCAUUAAUCAAGAACGAAAGUUAGGGGAUCGAAGACGAUCAGAUACCGUCGUAGUCUUAACCAUAAACUAUGCCGACUAGGGAUCGGACGAAGUUAAUUUUAUAAUGACGCGUUCGGCACCUUACG